UCUCUUUAAAAUGGAUACGAGGUGACUUGGCUGUGUUCCCGAUCCUAAUAUGACAGGGGAUGCUUUCUGGCAGAAUGUGGUCCUGUCUUUGUCCGGCAUGAUCCAGUAAGAAGAGGCAGAUGUCGUUUGCUGUUAAAAAACCGAUCAGGUGGAUUCCUAGAAUAGGAAAGUUAACUGCUGUUAUCUUAAAACAACAUCGAAGUUGAAUCCCGAAAACCGCUGUAACAAGGAAAUUCUGCAGCUUGCAGAAGGACAAGCAGAAAGAUAUGAAGGCGUUAAAGACACAGCAUUAGUAUACGAUUAGGUUAGGAUCAGUGGAACCAGCAUCACUGUUCAUGUAAACCAUUAUCUCCAGCUUGAGGAAAUUAUUACAGUUAGAACCGACAUUAAUCGAGGAGGGGAUAGCAACAAGCAGACAACACUGAAUUCCUGAUCUGAAGGUCAAUAGGAGCGCUUUCUGGCAGGGUGUGGUCUUGGGUUGUCCGGCAUGAACCUGAAGCAAAGAUGGAGUGAGACGGAAGAUAAACUACAUCGGAAUGCAACACGCUUGGAAUCUGCUUUUGAUGUAAAACGGUUGUCUCCCUAGGGCCGUUGUUUAACUAAUGAUCUACAUUUUGAGAAAAGCAGGUAAAAAAUGAGGAACAUUGAAAAGGUGACCAAAUAGAUUAAGUGUAGAUGUAUGAUGUAAAGCUGUGGUCUACUUAGCCAUUCAUCAGCGCUGUUGGUAAAUGCCAGGCCAUCCAGAACACUAUACUUUCAGGAAAUGACUUUUGUGACCUCAAUGUAAAGGAUCCAGUAUCCACCAUUUACAUCAGCCUAAGGGAGGCAACUACGAUACCAGAAAGAGGAAUAUGACUCCCCCCCCUAAAUCCUUGAUAUGAAGGUCACAUUGGGUUUCUUUCUGGCAGGAUAUGGUAUUUGGUUGUCCGGCGAAUACCCGAAUCACAGACUGGAUGGUGAAAUGCUGGAGACACAAAAUGUGGACGAGAUCCGACAUGUCAUAAAUAAUCGUGGUUGUCUCCCUUUGACCGUUGUGACGAUCAUAUUAUGCAGUUUAAAGACAAGCAGGUACAAGUUGCAAUUACAAAAGGAGGGUACGUGGAUGAAGUGUAUCUCUUUGAACAUGCCUUCAACCAAAAGAUAUGCUAAUACGUGCAGACGGUCUAUAAUGUAACCCUGAUCUAGAAGUAACAAAGGGCUCUGUCUGGUAGGAUGUGAUCCUGUGAUGUCCAGGAAUUAUUAGAACAAAAGUAAAAUCUCUAAGUAAUUCAAUUAAGCCACACUUUUGCUUUAAACGAGUGUCUCUGUGGCAUUGAAGAUUGAAAAUUACAGUAAAUUACACAUGUGUUACAAAUGAUGGACACACGACAUCAAAAUGUGGACGAGAUUCGACAUGCAAAAUAUAAUCGUGGUUGCCUCCCUUUGACCGUUAUGAUGAUCAUAUUAUGCAGUUUAAGGACAAGCAGGAACUUGUUGCAGUAAACAAGAAAUGAGGAUCAAUGAGAAAGUAUUGGGAAGACAUAACACCAAAAUGUGAAAGACCUUGGCUCUGUCAAACCAGCAUCCCAGUUGUUUCAGUUGUAACGAGAAUGAUCAGCAGUUUGAUUGCAUCAAUAUUAGUAUAUAGACCCGUAUUUGCCAAGACAAUUCUUAAUUAAACACACUCAACUGAUUUUCUGGAUCGCUGAAGUUCUCCAUCUUAAUUUGUUCUUAUCUUUCAAACAAUAGUUUCCUGUUAUUAUCAGACGGUAGCCUAAUUGCUGCUUGUAUUUGUAUAGGUAUAAGUACUUAAACAUUUUCACACACCGAUCAUAUUCAACUAAGUGUAUAUGAAUUUUUAUGAUAUGAAUGCGAUUAAAACUUAAGUACAAAUGCUCUCUUUCAGGUAUGCUAAUACGUGCAGACGGUCUAUAAUUUAACCCUGAUCUAGAAUUUACAAAGGGCUCUGUCUUCCAGGAUGUGAUCCUGUGAUGUCCAGUAAUUAUUAGAACAAAAGUAAAAUCUCUUGGUAAUUCAUUUAAUCCACAAUUUUGCUUUAAACGAGUGUCUCUGUGGCAUUGAAGAUUGAAAUUACAGUAAAUUACACAUGUGUUACAAAUGAUGGAGACACGACAUCAAAAGGUGGACGAGAUUCGACAUGCAAAAUAUAAUCGUGGUUGCCUCCCUUUGACCGUUAUGAUGAUCAUAUUAUGCAGUUUAAGGACAAGCAGGAACUUGUUGCAGUAAACAAGAAAUGAGGAAGUUACCAAGUGGUCUGUCUGGUAGGAUGUGAUCCUGUGAUGUCCAGGAAUUAUUAGAACAACAGUAAAAUCUCUAGAUCAAUGAGAAAGUAUUGGGAAGACAUAACACCAAAAUGUUAAAGGCUUUGGCUCUGUCAAACCAGCAUCCCAGUUGUGUCAGAUGUAACGAGAAUGAUCAGCAGUUUGAUUGCAUCAAUAUGAGUAUCUAGUCACGUGUUUGCCAAGACAAUUCUUAACUAAACACACUCAACUGAUUUUCUGGAUAGUUGACGUUCUCCAUCUUAAUUUGUUCUUAUCUUUCAUACAAUACUUUCCUGUUAUUAUCAGACGGUAGCCAAAUUGCUGCUUGUAUUGGUAAAGGUAUAAGUACUUAAACAUUUUCACACAUCGUUAAUAUUCAACUAAGUGUAUAUGAAUUUUUAUGAUAUGAAUGCGAUUAAAACUUAAGUACAAAUGCUCUCUUUCAGAUAUGCUAAUACGUGCAGACGGUCUAUAAUGUAACCCUGAUCUAGAAGUUACAAAGGGUUCUGUCUGGUAGGAUGUGAUCCUGUGAUGUCCAGUAAUUAUUAGAACAAAAGUAAAAUCUCUUGGUAAUUCAUUUUAAUCACAGUUGUGCUUUAAACGACUGUCUCUGUGGCAUUAAAGAUUGAAAAUUACAGUAAAGUACACAUGUGUUACAAAUGAUGGAGACACGACAUCAAAAUGUGGACGAGAUUCGACGUGCAAAAUAUAAUCGUGGUUGCCUCCCUUUGACCGUUAUGAUGAUCAUAUUAUGCAGUUUAAGGACAAGCAGGAACUUGUUGCAGUAAACAAGAAAUGAGGAUCAAUGAGAAAGUAUUGGGAAGACAUAACACCAAAAUGAUAAAGGCUUUGGCUCUGUCAAACCAGCAUCCCAGUUGUGUCAGAUGUAACGAGAAUGAUCAGCAGUUUGAUUGAAUCAAUAUGUGUAUCUAGUAACGUGUUUGCCAAGACAAUUCUUAACUAAACACACUCAACUGAUUUUCUGGAUAGUUGACGUUCUCCAUCUUAAUUUGUUCUUAUCUUUCAUACAAUACUUUCCUGUUAUUAUCAGACGGUAGCCUAACUGCUGCUUGUAUUGGUAUAGGUAUAAGUACUUAAACAUUUUCACACAUCGUUCAUAUUCAACUAAGUGUAUAUGAAUUUUUAUGAUAUGAAUGCGAUUAAAACUUUAGUACAAAUGCUCUCUUUCAGGUAUGCUAAUACGUGCAGACGGUCUAUGAUGUAACCCUGAUCUAGAAUUUAUAAAUGGCUCUGUCUGGUAGGAUGUGAUCCUGUGAUGUCCAGUUAUUAUUAGAACAAAAGUAAAAUCUCUUGGUAAUUCAUUUUAAUCACAGUUGUGCUUUAAACGAGUGUCUCUGUGGCAUUAAAGAUUGAAAAUUACAGUAAAGUACACAUGUGUUACAAAUGAUUGACACACGACAUCAAAAUGUGGACGAGAUUCGACAUGCCAAAAUAAAUCGUGGUUGUCUCCCUUUGACCGAUGUGAUGGUCAUAUUAUGCAGUUUAAGGACAAACGGGAACUUGUUGCAUUAAAAAAAGGA